rnacentral:rRNA from 2 species
AAUGGCUCAUUAAAUCAGUUAUAGUUUAUUUGAUAGUACCUUUACCUGGAUAACUGUGGUAAUUCUAGAGCUAAUACAUGCUAAAAACCCCGACUUCGGGAGGGGUGUAUUUAUUAGAUAAAAAACCAAUGCCCUUCGGGGCUCCUUGGUGAUUCAUAAUAACUUAACGAAUCGCAUGGCCUUGCGCCGGCGAUGGUUCAUUCAAAUUUCUGCCCUAUCAACUUUCGAUGGUAAGGUAGUGGCUUACCAUGGUUUCAACGGGUAACGGGGAAUUAGGGUUCUAUUCCGGAGAGGGAGCCUGAGAAACGGCUACCACAUCCAAGGAAGGCAGCAGGCGCGCAAAUUACCCAAUCCCAAUACGGGGAGGUAGUGACAAUAAAUACUGAUACGGGGCUCUUUUGGGUCUCGUAAUUGGAAUGAGUACAAUCUAAAUCCCUUAACG